rnacentral:rRNA from 1 species
GAUGAACGCUAGCUACAGGCUUAACACAUGCAAGUCGAGGGGAAACGGCAUCGAAAGCUUGCUUUUGAUGGCCGUCGACCGGCGCACGGGUGAGUAACGCGUAUCCAACCUGCCCAUCACUUGGGAAUAACCUUGCGAAAGUAAGACUAAUGCCCAAUGACAUCCCACGAAGGCAUCCGAAUGGGAUUAAAGAUUUAUCGGUGAUGGAUGGGGAUGCGUCUGAUUAGCUUGUUGGCGGGGUGACGGCCCACCAAGGCAACGAUCAGUAGGGGUUCUGAGAGGAAGGUCCCCCACAUUGGAACUGAGACACGGUCCAAACUCCUACGGGAGGCAGCAGUGAGGAAUAUUGGUCAAUGGGCGAGAGCCUGAACCAGCCAAGUAGCGUGCAGGAUGACGGCCCUAUGGGUUGUAAACUGCUUUUAUAAGGGAAUAAAGUGGGUCACGUGUGACUUUUUGCAUGUACCUUAUGAAUAAGGACCGGCUAAUUCCGUG